CAAUAGCGUAUAUUAAAGUUGUUGCAGUUAAAAAGCUCGUAGUUGGAUUUCGGGGCAGCCUGGCUGGUCCGCCGCAAGGCGAGUACUGGUCAGCCGCCCUUCCUCUCGAAAGACCCGACUGCUCUUCGUUGCAGUGGUCGGGUAGUUCGGGACGUUUACUUUGAAAAAAUUAGAGUGUUCAAGGCAGGCCUACGCCUGAAUACAUUAGCAUGGAAUAAUGGAAGAGGACCUCGGUCCUAUUUUGUUGGUUUCCAGGGCCGAAGUAAUGAUUAAGAGGGACAGUUGGGGGCAUUCGUAUUUAAUUGUCAGAGGUGAAAUUCUCGGAUUUAUGAAAGACGAACAACUGCGAAAGCAUUUGCCAAGGAUGUUUUCAUUAA
rnacentral:rRNA from 1 species